CGGGCGUUAAGUUGCAGGGUAUAGACCCGAAACCCGGUGAUCUAGCCAUGGGCAGGUUGAAGGUUGGGUAACACUAACUGGAGGACCGAACCGACUAAUGUUGAAAAAUUAGCGGAUGACCUGUGGCUGGGGGUGAAAGGCCAAUCAAACCGGGAGAUAGCUGGUUCUCCCCGAAAGCUAUUUAGGUAGCGCCUCGUGAAUUCAUCUCCGGGGGUAGAGCACUGUUUCGGCUAGGGGGCCAUCCCGGCUUACCAACCCGAUGCAAACUGCGAAUACCGGAGAAUGUUAUCACGGGAGACACACGGCGGGUGCUAACGUCCGUCGUGAAGAGGGAAACAACCCAGACCGCCAGCUAAGGUCCCAAAGUCAUGGUUAAGUGGGAAACGAUGUGGGAAGGCCCAGACAGCCAGGAUGUUGGCUUAGAAGCAGCCAUCAUUUAAAGAAAGCGUAAUAGCUCACUGGUCGAGUCGGCCUGCGCGGAAGAUGUAACGGGGCUAAACCAUGCACCGAAGCUGCGGCAGCGACACUGUGUGUUGUUGGGUAGGGGAGCGUUCUGUAAGCCUGUGAAGGUGUGUCGUGAGGCAUGCUGGAGGUAUCAGAAGUGCGAAUGCUGACAUAAGUAACGAUAAAGCGGGUGAAAAGCCCGCUCGCCGGAAGACCAAGGGUUCCUGUCCAACGUUAAUCGGGGCAGGGUGAGUCGACCCCUAAGGCGAGGCCGAAAGGCGUAGUCGAUGGGAAACGGGUUAAUAUUCCCGUACUUGGUGUUACUGCGAAGGGGGGACGGAGAAGGCUAUGUUGGCCGGGCGACGGUUGUCCCGGUUUAAGCGUGUAGGUGUGUGUUCCAGGUAAAUCCGGUUCACUUUAACACUGAGGCGUGACGACGAGGCACUACGGUGCUGAAGCAACAAAUGCCCUGCUUCCAGGAAAAGCCUCUAAGCAUCAGGUAACAUCAAAUCGUACCCCAAACCGACACAGGUGGUCAGGUAGAGAAUACCAAGGCGCUUGAGAGAACUCGGGUGAAGGAACUAGGCAAAAUGGUGCCGUAACUUCGGGAGAAGGCACGCUGACACGUAGGUGAAGUGAUUUACUCAUGGAGCUGAAGUCAGUCGAAGAUACCAGCUGGCUGCAACUGUUUAUUAAAAACACAGCACUGUGCAAACACGAAAGUGGACGUAUACGGUGUGACGCCUGCCCGGUGCCGGAAGGUUAAUUGAUGGGGUCAGCGCAAGCGAAGCUCCUGAUCGAAGCCCCGGUAAACGGCGGCCGUAACUAUAACGGUCCUAAGGUAGCGAAAUUCCUUGUCGGGUAAGUUCCGACCUGCACGAAUGGCGUAAUGAUGGCCAGGCUGUCUCCACCCGAGACUCAGUGAAAUUGAACUCGCUGUGAAGAUGCAGUGUACCCGCGGCAAGACGGAAAGACCCCGUGAACCUUUACUAUAGCUUGACACUGAACAUUGAGCCUUGAUGUGUAGGAUAGGUGGGAGGCUUUGAAGUGUGGACGCCAGUCUGCAUGGAGCCGACCUUGAAAUACCACCCUUUAAUGUUUGAUGUUCUAACGUGGACCCGUUACCCGGGUUGCGGACAGUGUCUGGUGGGUAGUUUGACUGGGGCGGUCUCCUCCUAAAGAGUAACGGAGGAGCACGAAGGUUGGCUAAUCCUGGUCGGACAUCAGGAGGUUAGUGCAAUGGCAUAAGCCAGCUUGACUGCGAGCGUGACGGCGCGAGCAGGUGCGAAAGCAGGUCAUAGUGAUCCGGUGGUUCUGAAUGGAAGGGCCAUCGCUCAACGGAUAAAAGGUACUCCGGGGAUAACAGGCUGAUACCGCCCAAGAGUUCAUAUCGACGGCGGUGUUUGGCACCUCGAUGUCGGCUCAUCACAUCCUGGGGCUGAAGUAGGUCCCAAGGGUAUGGCUGUUCGCCAUUUAAAGUGGUACGCGAGCUGGGUUUAGAACGUCGUGAGACAGUUCGGUCCCUAUCUGCCGUGGGCGCUGGAGAACUGAGGGGGGCUGCUCCUAGUACGAGAGGACCGGAGUGGACGCAUCACUGGUGUUCGGGUUGUCAUGCCAAUGGCACUGCCCGGUAGCUAAAUGCGGAAGAGAUAAGUGCUGAAAGCAUCUAAGCACGAAACUUGCCCCGA
rnacentral:rRNA from 4 species